GGGUAGGGGACCAAUCUAAUUGAGGAUGUCAUUCCAUUAUUGGCCCUGGGACACAUGUCCACCCUGCUACUCUUGGAGAAAGUUAGUUUGUAGGAGGCAUUUGCUGGCUGGAGCUGCGGUCAGUCAGCAGUGAAUCAUUCAGGUGCCCUGCAGCCGUUUCCUAAGAGACCACACGCUGAGUACCUGCUGAAUCAUGAGCUUCCGUUGAGUAACAAUAGCCACUCUGACAAGCUGGAGGGAGGGUUUUGCUGGAGCAGAUACUUGGCACACACCUGAGCUGCCCAAUCUGAAAUUAAGGGAAGAAAAAGGGAAAUGUGCAGCUUGACUCACCGAUAAUCUAUCGUGAUGGGAGUUGCUCCCAAGGCAAUGGUGUGUUUUCAGGCACUAACGGCCUACUUAGUCAUGGAAAGAAAAUGCAGCCCCACAUCUUCUAAAGGAGGGGAUACUUUAUAACUUUCUACCUUAAAGUGGAUGCUAAAGGCCAAUGUGUGACCAAGAACAAAUCAUGAGGUGGUUCCAAUGAGACUCAAGGAAAACGUU
rnacentral:lncRNA from 1 species